GCGAAAGUGGCGGAACUGGUAGACGCGCUGGACUCAGGCUCCAGUGGCUGUUGAAGCCAUAGGGGUUCAACUCCCCUCUUUCGCACCA
rnacentral:tRNA from 1 species